rnacentral:rRNA from 1 species
ACGGGUGAGUAAUGCUUCGGAAUCUGCCUGGUAGUGGGGAAUAACCAGUCGAAAGACUGGCUAAUGCCGCAUACGACCUUUUUCCGUAUUGGAAUUUGGUGGAAGCGGGGGAUCGCAAGACCUCGCGCUAAUAGAUGAGCCGAAGUCGGAUUAGCUAGUUGGUGAGGUAACGGCUCACCAAGGCGACAAUCCGUAGCUGGUCUGAGAGGACGACCAGCCACACUGGGACUGAGACACGGCCCAGACUCCUACGGGAGGCAGCAGUGGGGAAUAUUGGACAAUGGGGGCAACCCUGAUCCAGCGACGCCGCGUGUGUGAAGAAGGCCUGCGGGUUGUAAAGCACUUUUAGUGGGGACAAAAAGCCACGGGCUAAUACCCUGUGGUCUUGAUUUAACCCAAAGAAAAAGCACCGGCUAACUCUGUGCCAGCAGCCGCGGUAAUACAGAGGGUGCGAGCGUUAAUCGGAAUUACUGGGCGUAAAGCGUGCGUAGACGGUUUCGUAAGUCGGGUGUGAAAUCCCCGGGCUCAACCUGGGAAUUGCAUUCGAAACUGCGAGGCUAGGGUACGGAAGAGGGAAGCGGA